rnacentral:rRNA from 1 species
UACGUAGGGUGCAAGCGUUGUCCGGAAUUAUUGGGCGUAAAGAGCUCGUAGGCGGUUAGUCGCGUCUGCUGUGAAAACUCGGGGCUUAACCCUGGGCCUGCAGUGGGUACGGGCUGACUAGAGUGCGGUAGGGGAGACUGGAAUUCCUGGUGUAGCGGUGAAAUGCGCAGAUAUCAGGAGGAACACCGGUGGCGAAGGCGGGUCUCUGGGCCGUAACUGACGCUGAGGAGUGAAAGCGUGGGGAGCGAACAGG